GCGCCUGUAGCCCAGCUGGCCAGAGGCCGCCGACUUAGGAUCGGCGUGUCGCGGGUUCGAGUCCCGCCAGGCGCA
rnacentral:tRNA from 1 species